GUGGGGAAUAUUGCACAAUGGGGGAAACCCUGAUGCAGCGACGCCGCGUGAAGGAUGAAGUAUUUCGGUAUGUAAACUUCUAUCAGCAGGGAAGAAAAUGACGGUACCUGACUAAGAAGCCCCGGCUAACUACGUGCCAGCAGCCGCGGUAAUACGUAGGGGGCAAGCGUUAUCCGGAUUUACUGGGUGUAAAGGGAGCGUAGACGGCUAUGCAAGUCUGGUGUGAAAACCCGGGGCUCAACCCCGGGACUGCAUUGGAAACUGUGUGGCUUGAGUGUCGGAGAGGUAAGUGGAAUUCCUAGUGUAGCGGUGAAAUGCGUAGAUAUUAGGAGGAACACCAGUGGCGAAGGCGGCUUACUGGACGAUGACUGACGUUGAGGCUCGAAAGCGUGGGGAGCAAACAGG
rnacentral:rRNA from 1 species